UACGAAGGGGGCUAGCGUUGUUCGGAAUUACUGGGCGUAAAGCGUGCGCAGGCGGCUUCUCAAGUCAGGGGUGAAAUCCCAAGGCUCAACCUUGGAACUGCCUUUGAUACUGGGAAUCUUGAGUCCGGGAGAGGUGAGUGGAACUGCGAGUGUAGAGGUGAAAUUCGUAGAUAUUCGCAAGAACACCAGUGGCGAAGGCGGCUCACUGGCCCGGUACUGACGCUGAGGUGCGAAAGCGUGGGGAGCAAACAGG
rnacentral:rRNA from 1 species